rnacentral:misc_RNA from 1 species
GUGAAUCAUCGAAUCUUUGAACGCAAAUUGCACUUUCUGGUAUUCCGGAAAGUAUGCCUGUUUGAGGGUCAUUAAAAUCAAAAUCGGUGUUUUUGCUGCUUUUAGUUGUUAUGCCUCAAGAUUGAGUUGUCUUACAUUCGGUUACGUAACUUCAACUUUUCGAUGAUUUUCGAACGUAUUUAGAUUUCUUACGUACGUUU